rnacentral:rRNA from 1 species
AGUGAACGCUGGCGGUAGGCCUAACACAUGCAAGUCGAACGGCAGCACAGUAAGAGCUUGCUCUUACGGGUGGCGAGUGGCGGACGGGUGAGGAAUACAUCGGAAUCUACUUUUUCGUGGGGGAUAACGUAGGGAAACUUACGCUAAUACCGCAUACGACCUACGGGUGAAAGCAGGGGAUCUUCGGACCUUGCGCGAUUGAAUGAGCCGAUGUCGGAUUAGCUAGUUGGCGGGGUAAAGGCCCACCAAGGCGACGAUCCGUAGCUGGUCUGAGAGGAUGAUCAGCCACACUGGAACUGAGACACGGUCCAGACUCCUACGGUAGGCAGCAGUGGGGAAUAUUGGACAAUGGGCGCAAGCCUUAUCCAGUCAUACCGCGUGGGUGAAGAAGGCCUUCGGGUUGUAAAGCCCUUUUGUUGGGAAAGAAAAGCAGCAGGUUAAUACCCCGCUGUUCUGACGGUACCCAAAGAAUAAGCACCGGCUAACUUCGUG